rnacentral:tRNA from 1 species
GCCUAGGUGGCUCAGUCAGUUGAGCGUCCGACUUCGGCUUGAGUCAUGAUCUCACAGCCUGUGGGUUCAAGUCCCACAUCAGGCU